rnacentral:rRNA from 1 species
AGUGAACGCUGGCGGCAUGCCUUACACAUGCAAGUCGAACGGUAACAGGUCUUCGGAUGCUGACGAGUGGCGAACGGGUGAGUAAUACAUCGGAACGUGCCCGAUCGUGGGGGAUAACGGAGCGAAAGCUUUGCUAAUACCGCAUACGAUCUACGGAUGAAAGCAGGGGACCGCAAGGCCUUGCGCGGACGGAGCGGCCGAUGGCAGAUUAGGUAGUUGGUGGGAUAAAAGCUUACCAAGCCGACGAUCUGUAGCUGGUCUGAGAGGACGACCAGCCACACUGGGACUGAGACACGGCCCAGACUCCUACGGGAGGCAGCAGUGGGGAAUUUUGGACAAUGGGCGCAAGCCUGAUCCAGCCAUGCCGCGUGCAGGAUGAAGGCCUUCGGGUUGUAAACUGCUUUUGUACGGAACGAAAAGACUCUUUCUAAUAAAGAGGGUCCAUGACGGUACCGUAAGAAUAAGCACCGGCUAACUACGUG